UACGGAGGGUGCGAGCGUUGUCCGGAAUCACUGGGCGUAAAGGGCGCGUAGGCGGCUUCUCAAGCGUGUGGUGAAAGUCCGGGGCUCAACCCCGGAUCGGCCGUGCGGACUGGGGAGCUCGAGUUCUGUAGAGGCGGGUGGAAUUCCGGGUGUAGCGGUGGAAUGCGUAGAGAUCCGGAAGAACACCGGUGGCGAAGGCGGCCCCCUGGACCGGUACUGACGCUGAGGCGCGAAAGCGUGGGUAGCAAACGGG
rnacentral:rRNA from 1 species